ensembl:misc_RNA 7SK 7SK RNA
GGAUGUGAGGGCAAUCUGGCUGCGACAUCUAUCACCCCUUUGAUCGCCAGGGUUGAUUCAGCUGAUCUGGCUGGCUAGUCGGGUGUCCCCUUCCUCCCUCACCACUCCACGUGCUUCCCUCCAGAAGCUGCACGCUCUGUCAAAGAGGAUGACCUUCCCUGAUAGAGGAGAGGACCAUCCUCCUGUCAAGGGUAUACGAGUAGCUGUGCUCCCCUGCUAGAACCUACAAACACGCUCUCAAGACUCCAGUUUUAAUACAUUUUCCUUUAAUCUGAACACUAAUCAAGAAUAUUUGAUUUCAUGAAAUUAGGGUGAAAUAAUCAUAUUUAU